rnacentral:rRNA from 1 species
CCGUGCCAGCAGCCGCGGUAAUACGGAGGGUCCAAGCGUUAUCCGGAAUCACUGGGUUUAAAGGGUGCGUAGGUGGUUAUUUAAGUCAGAAGUGAAAUCUUGCAGCUCAACUGUAAAACUGCUUUUGAAACUGAAUAACUUGAAUAUUUUUGAUGUGGGCGGAAUGAGUCAUGUAGCGGUGAAAUGCGUAGAUAUGACUCAGAACACCGAUUGCGAAGGCAGCUCACAAAGAAAUAUUGACACUGAGGCACGAAAGCGUGGGUAGCGAACAGGAUUAGAUACCCUGGUAGUCCACGCCGUAAACGAUGUUUACUCGUUAUUUAUGCGAUAUAGUAUAAGUGACCAAGCGAAAGCGUUAAGUAAACCACCUGGGAAGUACGGUCGCAAGGCUGAAACUCAAAGGAAUUGGCGGGGGUCCGCACAAGCGGUGGAGUAUGUGGUUUAAUUCGAUGAUAAGCGAGGAACCUUACCUGGAUUCAAUUCAAGUUGACAGUCUUAGAGAUAGGAUUUUCUUCGGACAACUUGAAAGGUGCUGCAUGGUUGUCGUCAGCUCGUGCCGUGAGGUGUUGGGUUAAGUCCCGCAACGAGCGCAACCCUUACCUUUAGUUGCCAGCACAUUAUGGUGGGAACUCUAGAGGAACUGCCUUCGUAAGGAGGAGGAAGGUGGGGAUGACGUCAAAUCAUCAUGGCCCUUAAGUCCAGGGCUACACACGUACUACAAUGGUCGGUACAAAGGGUUGCGACAUAGCGAUAUGAAGCCAAUCCCUAAAAGCCGAUCUCAGUUCGGAUCGAAGUCUGCAACUCGACUUCGUGAAGCUGGAA